CUAUCUUCUAGGUAUGAAAUAGGUUAUUUUAGUAAAUAAUCAAAAAAUUUUUAAUAC
rnacentral:rRNA from 1 species